AUUGAUACUGCGGGUGUCAUAGCAAGAGUAAAAGACUUGUUCAAAGGGCAUCCUAGAUUGAUCCUUGGGUUCAACACUUUCUUGCCCAAGGGCUAUGAAAUAACCCUUAAUGAAGAAGAUGAGGCUCCUCCUAAGAGAACUGUUGAGUUUGAAGAAGCUAUCAGCUUUGUGAACAAAAUAAAGGUUACAUUCAGUUACCUUCUGAUUUAUGAGAAGAUGAGGCUCCUCCAAAGAGAUCGGUUGAGUUUGAAGAAGCUAUCAGCUUUGUGAACAAAAUAAAGGUUACAUUCAGUUACCUUCUGAUUUUAACGAUAAAGGUCUGCCCUUUUUCUUCUUUAACAAACUUUAGUCC
rnacentral:lncRNA from 1 species